rnacentral:rRNA from 1 species
GACGAACGCUGGCGGCGUGCUUAACACAUGCAAGUCGAACGGAAAGGCCUUUUCGGAGGUACUCGAGUGGCGAACGGGUGAGUAACACGCGGGUGAUCUGCCCUGCACUCUGGGAUAAGCCUGGGAAACUGGGUCUAAUACCGGAUAGGACCGCACUUUAGUGUGUGUGGUGGAAAGUUUUUUCGGUGUAGGAUGAGCCCGCGGCCUAUCAGCUUGUUGGUGGGGUAAUGGCCUACCAAGGCGGCGACGGGUAGCCGGACUGAGAGGUUGGUCGGCCACAUUGGGACUGAGAUACGGCCCAGACUCCUACGGGAGGCAGCAGUGGGGAAUAUUGCACAAUGGGCGCAAGCCUGAUGCAGCGACGCCGCGUGGGGGAUGACGGCCUUCGGGUUGUAAACUCCUUUCGCCAGGGACGAAGCGUUUUGUGACGGUACCUGGAGAAGAAGCACCGGCUAACUACGUG